UGGAUGAAAAAAGCUGAGAGGAAACAGCAAGCUGUCAGCCUGAACACGGUGGAAAGCAGGGUCCCCAGGGGCAUGUGGGGAUGAGCGGCAUCCAGGCCAGUAG